CAACCCUCAAAACUUCGGUUUUGGUGUUGGAGGACUACGCUGUAAAACGCGUAGCCUCCCAAAUUCAGUGGCGGGCUCGCUAGAAUUUUGAGCGUAGUAAUUUAUACCUCGUUUGUAAAGACUAGUGAUGUUUCUUGCCGUAAAACCCCCAACUUUCUGAA
rnacentral:misc_RNA from 1 species